CUGGUGGUGAGCCUAGAGGAAAGAGCAAUCUACAAGAAUUGACUGGUCCUGCCCUGACCAUCUGCAGCUGAUUUGACUUUGACACUAAUGCAGGAUGCUGGAUUAUUUCAAAGUGGUUUAUUGGCAUGCUUUACUGGUUGGUGGACAAACAGAUAGUCCUGGACCAAACUCAUACCAUUGGUUGAGUAAGUAUUGCUGUGUCAGGCUGGUCGGGAUGCUCAAACAAACCAGACUGAUCUCAGAGUGAAAUCAGAAACAGUAGGUUGACUUUUCUUAUCGAUAAUCGGUCUGUGCUUACCGAAAUGUGAAAAACUGCCCCCAGUGGCCAAAGCGGUAACUGUUGUUGGGCGUAUGGGAAUGUGUAAGCUUUUUUUCCAAGUGAAAUGUCCACGGAGGGGCGCCAGAAGCGAGUUUUUUUUUAGCUGUAUAGGCUAUAAUGCAGUAAAGAGGUAUGCAUAAAUAAACUUAACCCGCAGUUAUAGUAAGACACUUGCAAUGUAAGUGAAUGGGGCCAGUCCAUAAAUGUUAUAAUGCUCACAGUUUCAAAAGUUUAUCCACAAGAAUUGUACAUUAUUUAUGAUAAUGAUUUUAGUGUGAUUAAAAUCAGGGAUUGUCCAGCAUUCUGGAGUUUACCAGAUUACAGGGCUUACUGGCAUUACGUUGUCAUGACUUUACACAGAUAAGGUUAGUAAGCAAUUUUAUUAACCUACAAUCAUGUUACACUUCUAUUAAAUGAGCCUUAUAGUAGUUUUUUUUUUUUUAAUAAACGAGGGAGUCAAAAUAAUUUUUUGUG